CGCGGGAUGGAGCAGUCUGGUAGCUCGUCGGGCUCAUAACCCGAAGGUCGUUGGUUCAAAUCCCGCUCCCGCCA
rnacentral:tRNA from 1 species